UAAGAAAAAUCUUUUCGUUAAGAAAUUUCUUAACUCUGUUGCUAUGGAACAAAAGCUGCGCGCGCAGCAUCAUCAAUCGAAAAAAAAAUGGCGGACGACGUCGACUCGCUGCGUGUUUUUCAGAUGUUUUAACGAAAAACACAGACAAUAACUUGAUAUUUACGUUUAUGUUGGUGGAAUGGAAGAUGGUCUGUCUUGUUGUAGCAGAUCAGCACUGACAGUGAGGUAUUUACAGAAUGAAUAACUGUAACAUGUGAUUUCUUGAUUAAUCUGGAAAAGUGCAAGUUCACAUUCUGGUUGGCUGUUCAGUGUAAUCAAAUGCCACCCACAUCAGAGGUGCUCAGGGAGAGACAGCAAUAUAAGUGAUGGAACAUAGUGGACAACGUGCUAGCACACAGACAGAAACAUUUUGGUUGACAGUUGAUUCAAGGUUAUACUGUGGUAUGUUGAGGUGACUUCUGCUCCAAAAUUACCAGUACAAAACACAUAAUCAGGAAGAAAUUAAGCAGUGGAAGCCUGAUAUUAAAACAUAUUAACAUUUGUGUAGAGUGUGUUAUGUAAAUGGAAAAUAUGUAUAUCUUAUGCAGUAUCUAGACAGUAAAACUUGAUCUCAAAUAGAAGAAAUUUCAAGAAUAUAGUAUGGCUUACACCAAAAUUAUUGACAUAGAUAUAUCUUAUGAGUUUUAGCUGAGUGAUUCAAACUUUAUUACCUGCAUCAUAUAGUCAAGUGCACUGUUUCCUUUUAGUUACGAACUUUAUUUGCUUGUGGUAAAUUACUGUUUAAUGCCAUGUUCACUAGUAAGUCUAGUAAGUCAGUCUGUCAAAUAUUG